UACGGAGGAUCCAAGCGUUAUCCGGAUUUACUGGGUUUAAAGGGUGCGUAGGAGGACUGGUAAGUCAGUGGUGAAAUCCCCGAGCUUAACUUGGGAACUGCCGUUGAUACUAUCAGUCUUGAAUACCGUGGAGGUGAGCGGAAUAUGUCAUGUAGCGGUGAAAUGCUUAGAUAUGACAUAGAACACCAAUUGCGAAGGCAGCUCGCUACACGAAUAUUGACUCUGAGGCACGAAAGCGUGGGGAUCAAACAGG
rnacentral:rRNA from 1 species